rnacentral:sRNA from 1 species
UUCGUCUGUCGUUUAUGAGGAUGAGCACCUCCGCAGGAGGUUCGAGCCUCGCGAAGCGAGACAACGUUGCUUCAGCAACGGCCCGCAGGGCGC